rnacentral:lncRNA from 1 species
AUUUGACUAAAUAAUCAAAUUUUCCACUGGGCUGUCCUAAGAGAUCCCAAAUCUCUUUACCUUUUUCUGUAGCAGAUUUAUCAGUCUGCUGAGUCUGAUUGUCUGAUUUAGUAGAGGAAUCAACAGUCCCCUGAGUCUGUUGGGCUUUUGGUAAGUCCACAACCUUUAACGGAUUUGAUAAGUCUUUACCAGCUACCGUUUGGGCUGGACUAGUUAUGGACUUCUUGGGCUCCAUAGUACCUGUUGGAUA